rnacentral:rRNA from 1 species
UACGUAGGGGGCUAGCGUUGUCCGGAUUUAUUGGGCGUAAAGAGCGUGUAGGCGGCCGGGUAAGUCCGGUGUGAAAACUCGAGGCUUAACCUCGAGAUGUCAUCGGAAACUAUUCGGCUAGAGUCCGGAAGAGGAGAGUGGAAUUCCUGGUUUAGCGGUGAAAUGCGCAGAUAUCAGGAAGAACACCGAUGGCGAAGGCAGGUCUCUGGGCCAUAACUGACGCUGAGAAGCGAAAGCAUGGGGAGCGAACAGG